GAGUUGACCAUGGUUGACCGACCUCGUAAAACGUGAGGAUCGACUCAACUUUGGUCGCUCGGAUUGGCGAAAGUUUUGCGGAGCGAUAAGGACGUUUUCCUUUUUAAGAAAGAAGUUAGUUUACCAAAUUGGUAAAGGUUGAAAGAAAUAAUUAAUGGCCUCAUUGAAAUAAAAAGGAAUUAGUGUGCGCGGUUACUUAAAGUUGACCAUGAUGUUUACCUAGAUAAUUACUUACAAAUUAAGUAAUGGUUCAGGAAACACAAUCGUUAAGGAAGCUUAAGCGGAAAGCAUCAGAGUGUGGAGUACGCCAGCAUUUUCCAGGUUACAACGAGGUCAUUCCAGACGAUUUGGAUUAGAAGUGGGUCAUUGGCCGAGUUCGUGUUUUGCUGUUCCUGUUGUUUGAAGUUCUUCCCUUUUGGUAUUCCAUCGAUUUACUCGUUUUUCAUUCCAUGUUGAACUCUGUGAGGUCCGCCUACCUGGGAGCGCGCCUCACCCCUUUAUUUUAUUGUUAUUGUUGAACUUUCCUUUCAUUUCGGUUAUGAUGUAAGCCCUAAGGCGCCACAAUGCACUUGCCCACUUUAUUUUUAAGCAUUUCCAGACUUGCUAUUUUGAAUGUUGGGUUGUUGAUUUAAAGUCCUUUCUUAAAA